CAUACUUUGGUAUUGUUAUUUUCUCUUUUGUUGUUGUGCUGCAUUUCCAGCGUAGUCGUAACUGCAGUCCCGUUAGAGGCUGUUCAGGGCGCGGUGUGCGACUGGAGGUGUGGUGAUUGUUUAGGUCCAUGGGGACCUGGUUUUAGUGGUAUAUGAUUACCUUGUUGAGUUGACCAAUGAUGGUCUGUUAUGAAAGUGGCAAAUGGUUGCCAAUGUUGACUUAUCACCGAGUAUUUAUGUGCCCGUGUAUGUGUGUGUAGAAUGAACAGUCUAAGAUAUUUUUUGUUCUUUUGAUCAUUGUUGUUGUUGAUGUUGAUUGAGGCAUUCUUUCAAAUUGUUUACUCUGUGUGGUGAUGCACACGGGAAAUCCACUUGAUGGAUAUGUGUACUGAAGUCUCAUGUAGAGUCGCAAGUAGAGCUCAUGUAGAGUCGCAAGUAGAGCUCAUGUAGAGUCACAAGUAGAGCUCAUGUAGAGUCACAAGUAGAGCUCAUGUAGAGUCACAAGUAGAGCUCAUGUAGAGUCACAAGUAGAGCUCAUGUAGAGUCACAAGUAGAGCUCAUGUAGAGUCACAAGUAGAGCUCAUGUAGAGUCACAAGUAGAGCUCAUGUAGAGUCACAAGUAGAGCUCAUGUAGAGUCACAAGUAGAGCUCAUGUAGAGUCACAAGUAGAGCUCAUGUAGAGUCACAAGUAGAGCUCAUGUAGAGUCACAAGUAGAGCUCAUAUAGAGUCACAAGUAGAGCUCAUGUAGAGUCACAAAUAGAGCUCGGACGAGUCCUUUAUAGAGUCUCAUGUCAGGUCAGGAAUGACCGAGCGAACUUGGAUACUGUGCUGUGGUAUAUUGUUUCAGAUUAACACACGAGGACGUGUGUCACGCAGGAUGGCCGUGUCGGCGAUAGUUAUGAAUUAAGAAGAGAAAUUGAUCAAAUCGGAAAAUAAAAUGAAGUUACAUCACUUCCGUUAUGAAGUUGCAUCGCUCCGACGGCAGGUGGCGUACGGCCAGAGCUGAGUGAAGUCGACGGAGUCACUACAGAGUCGUCGUGUCGAGCGGACGUGCACUGCCGUUAUAGUCGGGCAGUCUACCGCGAACCAUCGUCAUGAGCGGACGUGUCGAAUAAUUACGAGGAGUGCUAUAGUCGCUCACCUAUAACUUGUAGGGACGUCAAGAAAGUGUGAUCGGAAAAGAGCACCUAGCAAGUACGUUCACAUGUCCCGAUGAUUCGGUCCGAAUGUUGGAACCAUGGGUGGUGGAGGGCCCCUUCGCGCUAACGUCCUUAAGCGCGCUAGAUUACGAGAGACUGUAUAACCGUUACCAAUACCGUGACGUUGCCGUGAGUGUGUACCUUAUGCUGUGACUUUAUUUAAUCGUGAUACAAAAACUAUGUGGAAGUAAAUAAAAUGAUUGUGAUACUGA